GACGAACGCUGGCGGCGUGCUUAACACAUGCAAGUCGAACGGAAAGGCCCUGCUUUUGUGGGGUGCUCGAGUGGCGAACGGGUGAGUAACACGUGAGUAACCUGCCCUUGACUUUGGGAUAACUUCAGGAAACUGGGGCUAAUACCGGAUAGGAGCUCCUGCUGCAUGGUGGGGGUUGGAAAGUUUCGGCGGUUGGGGAUGGACUCGCGGCUUAUCAGCUUGUUGGUGGGGUAGUGGCUUACCAAGGCUUUGACGGGUAGCCGGCCUGAGAGGGUGACCGGCCACAUUGGGACUGAGAUACGGCCCAGACUCCUACGGGAGGCAGAAGUGGGGAAUAUUGCACAAUGGGCGGAAGCCUGAUGCAGCAACGCCGCGUGCGGGAUGACGGCCUUCGGGUUGUAAACCGCUUUCGCCUGUAACGAAGCGUGAGUGACGGUAAUGGGUAAAGAAGCACCGGCUAACUACGUG
rnacentral:rRNA from 1 species